AAAUUGAAGAGUUUGAUCAUGGCUCAGAUUGAACGCUGGCGGCAGGCCUAACACAUGCAAGUCGAACGGUAACAGGAAGCAGCUUGCUGCUUUGCUGACGAGUGGCGGACGGGUGAGUAAUGUCUGGGAAACUGCCUGAUGGAGGGGGAUAACUACUGGAAACGGUGGCUAAUACCGCAUAACGUCGCAAGACCAAAGAGGGGGACCUUCGGGCCUCUUGCCAUCAGAUGUGCCCAGAUGGGAUUAGCUUGUUGGUGAGGUAACGGCUCACCAAGGCGACGAUCCCUAGCUGGUCUGAGAGGAUGACCAGCCACACUGGAACUGAGACACGGUCCAGACUCCUACGGGAGGCAGCAGUGGGGAAUAUUGCACAAUGGGCGCAAGCCUGAUGCAGCCAUGCCGCGUGUAUGAAGAAGGCCUUCGGGUUGUAAAGUACUUUCAGCGGGGAGGAAGGUGUUGUGGUUAAUAACCGCAGCAAUUGACGUUACCCGCAGAAGAAGCACCGGCUAACUCCGUGCCAGCAGCCGCGGUAAUACGGAGGGUGCAAGCGUUAAUCGGAAUUACUGGGCGUAAAGCGCACGCAGGCGGUCUGUCAAGUCGGAUGUGAAAUCCCCGGGCUCAACCUGGGAACUGCAUUCGAAACUGGCAGGCUUGAGUCUUGUAGAGGGGGGUAGAAUUCCAGGUGUAGCGGUGAAAUGCGUAGAGAUCUGGAGGAAUACCGGUGGCGAAGGCGGCCCCCUGGACAAAGACUGACGCUCAGGUGCGAAAGCGUGGGGAGCAAACAGGAUUAGAUACCCUGGUAGUCCACGCCGUAAACGAUGUCUACUUGGAGGUUGUGCCCUUGAGGCGUGGCUUCCGGAGCUAACGCGUUAAGUAGACCGCCUGGGGAGUACGGCCGCAAGGUUAAAACUCAAAUGAAUUGACGGGGGCCCGCACAAGCGGUGGAGCAUGUGGUUUAAUUCGAUGCAACGCGAAGAACCUUACCUGGUCUUGACAUCCACGGAAGAAUUUCAGAGAUGGAUUUGUGCCUUCGGGAACCGUGAGACAGGUGCUGCAUGGCUGUCGUCAGCUCGUGUUGUGAAAUGUUGGGUUAAGUCCCGCAACGAGCGCAACCCUUAUCCUUUGUUGCCAGCGGUCCGGCCGGGAACUCAAAGGAGACUGCCAGUGAUAAACUGGAGGAAGGUGGGGAUGACGUCAAGUCAUCAUGGCCCUUACGACCAGGGCUACACACGUGCUACAAUGGCGCAUACAAAGAGAAGCGACCUCGCGAGAGCAAGCGGACCUCAUAAAGUGCGUCGUAGUCCGGAUUGGAGUCUGCAACUCGACUCCAUGAAGUCGGAAUCGCUAGUAAUCGUGGAUCAGAAUGCCACGGUGAAUACGUUCCCGGGCCUUGUACACACCGCCCGUCACACCAUGGGAGUGGGUUGCAAAAGAAGUAGGUAGCUUAACCUUCGGGAGGGCGCUUACCACUUUGUGAUUCAUGACUGGGGUGAAGUCGUAACAAGGUAACCGUAGGGGAACCUGCGGUUGGAUCACCUCCUUACCUUAAAGAAGC
rnacentral:rRNA from 1 species